rnacentral:rRNA from 1 species
AGAGUUUGAUCCUGGCUCAGAUUGAACGCUGGCGGCAUGCCUUACACAUGCAAGUCGAACGGUAACGCGGGGGCAACCCUGGCGACGAGUGGCGAACGGGUGAGUAAUACAUCGGAACAUAUCCAGUAGCGGGGGAUAACCUAUCGAAAGAUGGACUAAUACCGCAUACGAUCUACGGAUGAAAGCAGGGGACCGCAAGGCCUUGCACUAUUGGAGUGGCCGAUGUCGGAUUAGCUAGUUGGUGAGGUAAAGGCUUACCAAGGCGACGAUCCGUAGCUGGUCUGAGAGGACGAUCAGCCACACUGGAACUGAGACACGGUCCAGACUCCUACGGGAGGCAGCAGUGGGGAAUUUUGGACAAUGGGCGCAAGCCUGAUCCAGCCAUGCCGCGUGAGUGAAGAAGGCCUUCGGGUUGUAAAGCUCUUUCGGUGAAGACGAAACGGUUAGCGCUAAUAACGCUGACUAAUGACGGUACUCACAGAAGAAGCACCGGCUAACUACGUGCCAGCAGCCGCGGUAAUACGUAGGGUGCAGGCGUUUAUCGGAACUACUGGGCGUAAAGCGUGCGCAGGCGGUUUGCUAAGACAGGUGUGAAAUCCCCGAGCUUAACUUGGGAAUUGCGCUUGUAACUGGCAAGCUAGAGUGUGGCAGAGGGGGGUGGAAUUCCACGUGUAGCAGUGAAAUGCGUAGAUAUGUGGAGGAACACCGAUGGCGAAGGCAGCCCCCUGGGUUAACACUGACGCUCAUGCACGAAAGCGUGGGGAGCAAACAGGAUUAGAUACCCUGGUAGUCCACGCCCUAAACUAUGUCAACUAGUUGUCGGGGAAGAAAUUCCUUGGUAACGAAGCUAACGCGUGAAGUUGACCGCCUGGGGAGUACGGCCGCAAGGUUAAAAACUCAAAGGAAUUGACGGGGACCCGCACAAGCGGUGGAUUAUGUGGAUUAAUUCGAUGCAACGCGAAAAACCUUACCUACCCUUGACAUGCUAGGAAGCCCGCAGAGAUGUGGGUGUGCCCGAAAGGGAACCUAGACACAGGUGCUGCAUGGCUGUCGUCAGCUCGUGUCGUGAGAUGUUGGGUUAAGUCCCGCAACGAGCGCAACCCUUGCCAUUAGUUGCUACAUUCAGUUGGGCACUCUAAUGGGACCGCCGGUGACAAACCGGAGGAAGGUGGGGAUGACGUCAAGUCCUCAUGGCCCUUAUGGGUAGGGCUUCACACGUAAUACAAUGGUCGGUACAGAGGGCUGCCAACCCGCAAGGGGGAGCUAAUCCCAGAAAGCCGAUCGUAGUCCGGAUUGUAGUCUGCAACUCGACUGCAUGAGGCCGGAAUCGCUAGUAAUCGCGGAUCAGCAUGUCGCGGUGAAUACGUUCCCGGGUCUUGUACACACCGCCCGUCACACCAUGGGAGUGGGUUCCACCAGAAGUAGUUAGCCUAACCGCAAGGAGGGCGAUUACCACGGUGAGAUUCAUGACUGGGGCGAAGUCGUAACAAGGUA